AAUCAACGCUGGCGGCGUGCCUAACACAUGCAAGUCGAACGCGAAACCCCCGCAAGGGGUUAGUAGAGUGGCGAACGGGUGAGUAACACGUGGGUGACCUACCUUCGAAUGGGGGAUAACGUCCCGAAAGGGACGCUAAUACCGCAUAACAUCCUGCCUUUGAACAGGUGGAGAUCAAAGCCGGGGAUCGCAAGACCUGGCGUUUGAAGAGGGGCCCGCGUCUGAUUAGCUAGUUGGUGAGGAACGGCCCACCAAGGCGACGAUCAGUAUCCGGCCUGAGAGGGCGGACGGACACACCGGGACUGAGACACGGCCCAGACUCCUACGGGAGGCAGCAGGUGGGGAAUUGUUCGCAAUGGGCGCAAGCCUGACGACGCAACGCCGCGUGGAGGAUG
rnacentral:rRNA from 1 species